AUGGACCGCGCGUCCAUUGCGGUUCUGAGCGCGCCGUCCGCGCCCACCUGACAGCUGCUCGCGACGGUUUGUCAGCC
rnacentral:sRNA from 1 species